GUUAUGUACUAGGGAUAAGCUAAAGGCCCCAGGCAGUGCUUUAUUUGUCAAACAGAACUACUGUUGUUUUAUCUCCAAAGCAUCUGCGUUUAAAACAUCUGGAUUCAUUUUCAAUGGAGGCAUCUCUUUUGCUGAUAAAAUGUGAGGAGCAACAAGGGGGCAUGCAUCCAAAGAAAAAAGAAAGAAAGAAAGAAACCCUCAACCUUCCUGCUGACUGUUCUUGACCCACAUUUUAUUGACUUUCUUCUGUUUAGGUGGAGAAGGAAGGGACAUUUGAGAAAAGGGCAAAGUAGCAGAAAGCCCAAAAUGUGCCUAGAGGGAAAUAAUUGAUUUUUUGUUAAUUCCCCAGGUGCUGAUAUGGUCAGGAAGUCAUAGGACUACCUUUUCUUGGCAAGUCCACAACUGCCUCAGACCCACAUGAAAGAGCUUUCUCUGGGAAUUUUUCUAAAGGGCUUUUAAUUGCUGACAGUCAAAAGAUCCAGAAGUUUACUUCCCAAGAAAUAGCAAGAGUAAAACUCUUACUCCUGAUCUGAUGUAACUGCCUUUAGACUCCAAUACAUUUGGAUUUUUCUGGAGGCUACAGUUAAGCAUGUCAACUUGUGAUAUGACUUUUAGUCCCUGCCAGUUUCAGUCAAUAGAGAACUAAAGGCAGAUGGGAAGAGGAGAGGAAAAAAAAACCAGCUGAAACAAACGAAGAAUUCAGGCUUAUUUUUCAAUGUUAGUUGCUCUGCUUUUCUUCUUGUUUUAUCUAACCUAUUCUAACAGUCCUUCCUUUGAAUUUUGUACAAUGCACGUUUCUAUAAAUUCACACUGAAAAACAUCUGGAGUAUUGCCAGCAAUUUGCCAAACAGAAACCUGCAGCAAUGGAAAUGUUCUGUAAGACUAUUAUAAAGUUCAGGAAGAAAUGGCAGAGGCAGAUGGAGGGAGAUCUGCUAGAAGAGGAAGAAGGCGAUGGGAUGAUGGCAGCAGCAGGAGAAAGAGCAAUGUCAUGAGCCAUGGAACGAGGACAGAUUCCAGAAUAUAGGAGAAUGCAGUGAAAGGGAUUGUCCCCUGGAAUCUCUGGAGGAAGUGCAGCCCUGAAGACACCUUGAUUUCAACCC